CCCCCCSCGGUAAUGCCUCAGUAGCGGCGAGUGAAGCGGCAAAAGCUCAAAUUUGAAAUCUGGCGUCUUUGGCGUCCGAGUUGUAAUUUGAAGAAGGUAUCUUUGGGCCCGGCUCUUGUCUAUGUUCCUUGGAACAGGACGUCACAGAGGGUGAGAAUCCCGUGCGAUGAGAUGACCCGGGUCUGUGUAAAGUUCCUUCGACGAGUCGAGUUGUUUGGGAAUGCAGCUCUAAGUGGGUGGUAAAUUCCAUCUAAAGCUAAAUAUUGGCGAGAGACCGAUAGCGAACAAGUACAGUGAUGGAAAGAUGAAAAGAACUUUGAAAAGAGAGUGAAAAAGUACGUGAAAUUGUUGAAAGGGAAGGGCUUGAGAUCAGACUUGGUAUUUUGCAUGUUGCUCUCUCGGGGGCGGCCGCUGCGGUUUACCGGGCCAGCAUCGGUUUGGAGCGGCAGGAUAAUGGCGGAGGAAUGUGGCACGGCUUCUGCUGUGUGUUAUAGCCUCUGACGAUGCUGCCAGCCUAGACCGAGGACUGCGGUUUUUUACCUAGGAUGUUGGCAUAAUGAUCUUAAGUCGCCCGUCUURAAACACRGACCA
rnacentral:rRNA from 1 species